rnacentral:rRNA from 1 species
UAGGGAAUCUUCGGCAAUGGACGAAAGUCUGACCGAGCAACGCCGCGUGAGUGAAGAAGGUUUUCGGAUCGUAAAACUCUGUUGUUAGAGAAGAACAAGGACGUUAGUAACUGAACGUCCCCUGACGGUAUCUAACCAGAAAGCCACGGCUAACUACGUGCCAGCAGCCGCGGUAAUACGUAGGUGGCAAGCGUUGUCCGGAUUUAUUGGGCGUAAAGCGAGCGCAGGCGGUUUCUUAAGUCUGAUGUGAAAGCCCCCGGCUCAACCGGGGAGGGUCAUCGGAAACUGGGAGACUUGAGUGCAGAAGAGGAGAGUGGAAUUCCAUGUGUAGCGGUGAAAUGCGUAGAUAUAUGGAGGAACACCAGUGGCGAAGGCGGCUCUCUGGUCUGUAACUGACGCUGAGGCUCGAAAGCGUGGGGAGCAAACAGG